AUUGAACGCUGGCGGCAGGCCUAACACAUGCAAGUCGAACGGUAACAGGAAGCAGCUUGCUGCUUUGCUGACGAGUGGCGGACGGGUGAGUAAUGUCUGGGAAACUGCCUGAUGGAGGGGGAUAACUACUGGAAACGGUAGCUAAUACCGCAUAACGUCGCAAGACCAAAGAGGGGGACCUUCGGGCCUCUUGCCAUCGGAUGUGCCCAGAUGGGAUUAGCUAGUAGGUGGGGUAACGGCUCACCUAGGCGAUGAUCCCUAGCUGGUCUGAGAGGAUGACCAGCCACACUGGAACUGAGACACGGUCCAGACUCCUACGGGAGGCAGCAGUGGGAAAUAUUGCACAAUGGGCGCAAGCCUGAUGCAGCCAUGCCGCGUGUAUGAAGAAGGCCUUCGGGUUGUAAAGUACUUUCAGCGGGGAGGAAGGGAGUAAAGUUAAUACCUUUGCUCAUUGACGUUACCCGCAGAAGAAGCACCGGCUAACUCCGUG
rnacentral:rRNA from 1 species